AACGAGACCUUAACCUGCUAAAUAGCCAGAUCGUCUUUGGAUGGUCGCCGGCUUCUUAGAGGGACUGUUCGGAUCUACCGAACGGAAGUUUGAGGCAAUAACAGGUCUGUGAUGCCCUUAAUG
rnacentral:rRNA from 1 species